rnacentral:rRNA from 1 species
GACGAACGCUGGCGGCGUGCCUAAUACAUGCAAGUCGAACGAGAGCGGCCGGUGCUUGCACUGGUCAAUCUAGUGGCGAACGGGUGAGUAGCACGUGGGUAACCUGCCCAUCAGAGGGGGAUAACAUCCGGAAACGGAUGCUAAAACCGCAUAGGUCUUCGAGCCGCAUGGCUUGAAGAGGAAAAGAGGCGCAAGCUUCUGCUGAUGGAUGGACCCGCGGUGCAUUAGCUAGUUGGUGAGGUAACGGCUCACCAAGGCCGUGAUGCAUAGCCGACCUGAGAGGGUGAUCGGCCACAUUGGGACUGAGACACGGCCCAAACUCCUACGGGAGGCAGCAGUAGGGAAUCUUCCGCAAAGGACGCAAGUCUGACGGAGCAACGCCGCGUGAGUGAAGAAGGUUUUCGGAUCGUAAAACUCUGUUGUUAGAGAAGAACAAGUGCUAGAGUAACUGUUAGCGCCUUGACGGUAUCUAACCAGAAAGCCACGGCUAACUACGUG